UUGCUUUUGCAGCACAUACAAGCGCCCUGGAACAGUACAGACAGGAUUAUGCUGGCUCCUGCCCAAGCAUAACAUGCAGAUUAAUGAAGUGCUCCAUGUUACA
ensembl:snRNA U6 U6 spliceosomal RNA